GUCUACAGCCAUACCACACUGAACGCGCCCGAUCUCUUCUGAUCUCGGAGUCUAAGCAGGGUAGGUCCUAGUUAGUACUUGAAUGGAAGUCAUACCUACCUCCAAGGGUUGUUCUGAGGAUUCAGUGAGCU
rnacentral:rRNA from 1 species